rnacentral:rRNA from 1 species
AUUGAACGCUGGCGGCAGGCCUAACACAUGCAAGUCGAGCGAGUGGCGGACGGGUGAGUAAUGUAUGGGGACUGCCCGAUAGAGGGGGAUAACUACUGGAAACGGUGGCUAAUACCGCAUACUAUCGGAUAACCCAUAUGGGAUUAGCUAGUAGGUGGGGUAAAGGCUCACCUAGGCGACGAUCUCUAGCUGGUCUGAGAGGAUGAUAAGGGAAACAGGAACGGAGACACGGCCCAGACGAAGACGGAGGGGGCAGAGGGGAAAAUUGCACAAUGGGCGCAAGCCUGAGGCAGCCAUGCCGCGUGUAUGAAGAAGGGCGUAGGGUAGGAAAGUACAUUCAGCGGGGAGGCGUUACGCGGAGAAGAAGCACCGGCUAACUCCGUGCCAGCAGCCGCGGUAAUAC